UCAAGGCGAAGAAUUUUGUCCUCCCUAGCUUGUCCAAGCACAGCAUUGCAUUCUCUUUCAUGCUUGUACUGUUGUACCUGUGAAAGUGGCCAAGCAAAGUCAAGCUAAAUCAAGAGACCCUGGCACGCAGGUAUAGAGAAUUAAAUACAUCCAGGCAAAUUAUGAAGGAACAUACCAAACGGUUGAGUUGACUUAUAUCAAAUGCUUGCUUGUUGCAGUACUCUUCAAGUGCCAUUUCUCUUCUAAUAGCUCCAGCAAGAACUUUCUCAACUGCCUGCAGAAGAACAAGAAUUAUUAGCAACAUAUACACCAAGCAGCUGGAAAAACAUAGAAUUUCAACUUGACAUACUUUAGGAACUUGUAUCCUCGAUUUCUCAGCAGAGCCUGUACCAUCCACAGGUACUAAUUGAAGAUCUGAACUGCUAUCCUCCUCUCUAACCUCCAGCUGCUUUCUAAUUUUGCAACUAGUGCACAUAAAAAGGUUUUCACCAGCAGCCUCAUCAUCGCAAGAUGUUUGCACACCAACAUCAAUUUUGUUAAUUGGCACAUUAACCUUUUCUGCAGGUUUAUAUGAAAAUCUGAAUGAGGACCUUCUCAAUGCUGAACUCUGACGGCAACUAUCAAUAAUUUCAAGCCCA
rnacentral:lncRNA from 1 species